rnacentral:rRNA from 1 species
AAAUUGAAGAGUUUGAUCAUGGCUCAGAUUGAACGCUGGCGGCAGGCCUAACACAUGCAAGUCGAACGGUAACAGGAAGAAGCUUGCUUCUUUGCUGACGAGUGGCGGACGGGUGAGUAAUGUCUGGGAAACUGCCUGAUGGAGGGGGAUAACUACUGGAAACGGUAGCUAAUACCGCAUAACGUCGCAAGACCAAAGAGGGGGACCUUCGGGCCUCUUGCCAUCGGAUGUGCCCAGAUGGGAUUAGCUAGUAGGUGGGGUAACGGCUCACCUAGGCGACGAUCCCUAGCUGGUCUGAGAGGAUGACCAGCCACACUGGAACUGAGACACGGUCCAGACUCCUACGGGAGGCAGCAGUGGGGAAUAUUGCACAAUGGGCGCAAGCCUGAUGCAGCCAUGCCGCGUGUAUGAAGAAGGCCUUCGGGUUGUAAAGUACUUUCAGCGGGGAGGAAGGGAGUAAAGUUAAUACCUUUGCUCAUUGACGUUACCCGCAGAAGAAGCACCGGCUAACUCCGUGCCAGCAGCCGCGGUAAUACGGAGGGUGCAAGCGUUAAUCGGAAUUACUGGGCGUAAAGCGCACGCAGGCGGUUUGUUAAGUCAGAUGUGAAAUCCCCGGGCUCAACCUGGGAACUGCAUCUGAUACUGGCAAGCUUGAGUCUCGUAGAGGGGGGUAGAAUUCCAGGUGUAGCGGUGAAAUGCGUAGAGAUCUGGAGGAAUACCGGUGGCGAAGGCGGCCCCCUGGACGAAGACUGACGCUCAGGUGCGAAAGCGUGGGGAGCAAACAGGAUUAGAUACCCUGGUAGUCCACGCCGUAAACGAUGUCGACUUGGAGGUUGUGCCCUUGAGGCGUGGCUUCCGGAGCUAACGCGUUAAGUCGACCGCCUGGGGAGUACGGCCGCAAGGUUAAAACUCAAAUGAAUUGACGGGGGCCCGCACAAGCGGUGGAGCAUGUGGUUUAAUUCGAUGCAACGCGAAGAACCUUACCUGGUCUUGACAUCCACGGAAGUUUUCAGAGAUGAGAAUGUGCCUUCGGGAACCGUGAGACAGGUGCUGCAUGGCUGUCGUCAGCUCGUGUUGUGAAAUGUUGGGUUAAGUCCCGCAACGAGCGCAACCCUUAUCCUUUGUUGCCAGCGGUCCGGCCGGGAACUCAAAGGAGACUGCCAGUGAUAAACUGGAGGAAGGUGGGGAUGACGUCAAGUCAUCAUGGCCCUUACGACCAGGGCUACACACGUGCUACAAUGGCGCAUACAAAGAGAAGCGACCUCGCGAGAGCAAGCGGACCUCGUAAAGUGCGUCGUAGUCCGGAUUGGAGUCUGCAACUCGACUCCAUGAAGUCGGAAUCGCUAGUAAUCGUGGAUCAGAAUGCCACGGUGAAUACGUUCCCGGGCCUUGUACACACCGCCCGUCACACCAUGGGAGUGGGUUGCAAAAGAAGUAGGUAGCUUAACCUUCGGGAGGGCGCUUACCACUUUGUGAUUCAUGACUGGGGUGAAGUCGUAACAAGGUAACCGUAGGGGAACCUGCGGUUGGAUCACCUCCUUA